CUGGGCUACAUCUUUGCAGCUCCAGCCACAGAACUCAUACUGAUAUUAAUGGAAGCUCUAAAUUCGGAUUUGUGACACUAUAUAUGACCCAGUUUUAUGCUCUUUUGGGAAAGUUAAUGGGACACAGUAUAGCUAAAACUAUAAAAAAAUUGUGUUAACACGGUCCUUUUGUCAUCCAGGGUAUCUCACAUAAAUCUGUAUCAUCAUGCCUCCUCAGCAAUACAAAGUUCUGAUUGUCAAGUCUGCAGAGACAAUGUAACCUAGAGACUGAAGAUGGAUAAUACUGCUAAAACACAAGCCACCACUACUGUUUAUAAAGAACAAUUCCUAAUCAGACACAUUGGAAUAAGUCCAAAUGAUAUUAGCUUUCUUAGAUUUACUCUGGAUCCACUCCUGUGUUACACAACAGCGUUAAGGCCUGUAUUUCCCAAUAUUAAUGCUACAGAAGACUACCUAGAGACUGACACCCACUUUGAAAGAAACACGUGGCUUAAGAAAAACAUUUCUGAACACCACUCACAGGGGACAUAAGGGGUUCUUCUGGUGUCAAAACCAAAUCCAUGUGAGGUAUUUGAGUAAAGAGGUAUGACCUAAUUGCUGAGCAAAGGAUACUUUCAGGCAAAUAUGAAAAGUCACUUCACAUACAUGAGAUAGCGUGGAAGGAGGCAAGGAAGAUGUAUAACAAGCUGCUCUGUGAACAGAAGAACUAGUAAAGCCUGUUUUCCUAUGGUAGUCAUUCUUUGUAACUCAGACUUCUCCCCUCUGCUUCAAAGUAACACUCAGCCUACAUUCCCUUUAAUAUCUUAUCAGGAAACAGACAACAUGGAGAUGGUCUAGAGCUACCCACAGGUUGACGGAUCAGAUUACCACUGCCAAGUUAUCCCCAACAAAUCACAAGUAGCAGUUCACUUCUACCUGCCUUUCCUGCCACCAGGAACAUCAGUCUCAAGUCUCUCCUCUGUCAAGGUGCCAAUUUAAGAAGUUUACAGGAAUUUAGUUUUCUUGAAUUUGAAUGAGAUCAACAAACAGGUUUAAAACAGUGUCCAUGGGGGAGAUAGAUGGAUAGACAAUAGAACAAUCACAUAUAGUGAAUCAACAGUGCAUUAAACCUUAUUUUUUGGUAAAGUAAGACAGAACUGCAAAUGAGCCCUUUGGCCAAGGUGGAGAGGAGAGAUGAGAAUAUAUAAAGACACCAAUACAUUGUAGGAGCAAGAUUGCCAGCUAAUAUAACUUGGGAUGUUCCAUAGGACCCAUAUGAUACUGCCACGUUAGUCUGUGAGCAGGGCUAGCCUGUUUGAGGUGGUAAACCUGCACUCUGUAAAAAGGUACCGCAUCACCAUCUUCAUCCAUCAGAGUACUCCAAUUCAGCUGUAUCUUUUGCCAUGCAUAUCAUUGCUCCAAGGCCUGCAUUUCUUUUUAAAUAAGGUGUUAUAAUUAUUCUGCAAUUAUACACCACAAUGUAAGUGUGCAUUUUCAUUUUUUCUUUCUAGAGUUAUUGAUAUUAUUUGCCUUAUGAUAAUAUAUAGAUGCCCCAGGUAUAUAUGUGAACCCCCUAUAUUAAGCAUCUUAACAAAGGGAGCAAGGAAUGCGCUUUGCCCUGAUAUACUCGCUUAUCUUCCUAGGCAAAGGUGUAAACAGAUAUGAUUUGUCUAGGCACGUAGUGGUUUAGUGGCAGACAACCACCAUUACGCACAGGA